rnacentral:rRNA from 1 species
AGAGUUUGAUCAUGGCUCAGAACGAACGCUGGCGGCGUGCUUAACACAUGCAAGUCGAACGGAAUUAGGGGCUUGCUCCUAAUUUAGUGGCGCACGGGUGAGUAACGCGUGGAUAACCUACCCUGGUAUCUGGGAUAACAUCUCGAAAGGGGUGCUAAUACCGGAUAAGCCCACGGUCUCUUCGGGGAUUGCGGGAAAAGAUGGCCUCUAUUUAUAAGCUAUCGUAUCAGGAUGGGUCCGCGUACCAUUAGCUAGUUGGUGGUGUAAUGGACCACCAAGGCGACGAUGGUUAGCUGGUCUGAGAGGAUGAUCAGCCACACUGGAACUGAGACACGGUCCAGACUCCUACGGGAGGCAGCAGUGGGGAAUUUUGCGCAAUGGGGGAAACCCUGACGCAGCAACGCCGCGUGAGUGAUGAAGGCCUUCGGGUCGUAAAGCUCUGUCAGAGGGGAAGAAGUGAUAGUGUGCUAAUACCACAUUAUCUUGACGGUACCCUCAAAGGAAGCACCGGCUAACUCCGUGCCAGCAGCCGCGGUAAUACGGAGGGUGCAAGCGUUGUUCGGAUUUAUUGGGCGUAAAGCGCGUGUAGGCGGUCUUUUAAGUCUGAUGUGAAAGCCCCGGGCUCAACCCGGGAAGUGCAUUGGAAACUGGGAGACUUGAAUACGGGAGAGGGUAGUGGAAUUCCUAGUGUAGGAGUGAAAUCCGUAGAUAUUAGGAGGAACACCGGUGGCGAAGGCGGCUACCUGGACCGAUAUUGACGCUGAGACGCGAAAGCGUGGGGAGCAAACAGGAUUAGAUACCCUGGUAGUCCACGCCGUAAACGAUGAGUACUAGGUGUUGCGGGUAUUGACCCCUGCAGUGCCGCAGCUAACGCAUUAAGUACUCCGCCCUGGGAAGUACGGUCGCCAAGACUAAACUCAAAGGAAUUGACGG